UGGGGAAUAUUUGGCAAUGGGCGCAAGCCUGACCCAGCAACGCAGCGUGCAGGAAGUAGGCUCUCGGGUUGUAAACUUCUCUUGUCAGGGACGAAGCAAGUGACGGUACCUGACGAAUAAGCCACGGCUAACUACGUGCCAGCAGCCGCGGUAAUACGUAGGUGGCAAGCGUUAUCCGGAUUUACUGGGUGUAAAGGGCGUGUAGGCGGGACUGCAAGUCAGAUGUGAAAACCAUGGGCUCAACCCAUGGCCUGCAUUUGAAACUGUAGUUCUUGAGUGUUGGAGAGGCAGGCGGAAUUCCGUGUGUAGCGGUGAAAUGCGUAGAUAUACGGAGGAACACCAGUGGCGAAGGCGGCCUGCUGGACAAUAACUGACGCUGAGGCGCGAAAGCGUGGGGAGCAAACAGG
rnacentral:rRNA from 1 species